rnacentral:rRNA from 1 species
AGUGAACGCUGGCGGUAGGCCUAACACAUGCAAGUCGAACGGCAGCACAGAGGAGCUUGCUCCUUGGGUGGCGAGUGGCGGACGGGUGAGGAAUACAUCGGAAUCUACUCUGUCGUGGGGGAUAACGUAGGGAAACUUACGCUAAUACCGCAUACGACCUACGGGCGAAAGCAGGGGACCUUCGGUCCUUGCGCGAUUGAAUGAGCCGAUGUCGGAUUAGCUAGUUGGCGGGGUAAAGGCCCACCAAGGCGACGAUCCGCAGCUGGUCUGAGAGGAUGAUCAGCCACACUGGAACUGAGACACGGUCCAGACUCCUACGGGAGGCAGCAGUGGGGAAUAUUGGACAAUGGGCGCAAGCCUGAUCCAGCCAUACCGCGUGGGUGAAGAAGGCCUUCGGGUUGUAAAGCCCUUUUGUUGGGAAAGAAAUCCAGCUGGCUAAUACCCGGUUGGGAUGACGGUACCCAAAGAAUAAGCACCGGCUAACUUCGUGCCAGCCGCCGCGGUAA